CUGGGGCAACAGACUCACUGCUGGGGUCCUCGGUUCCUCGGGUCCGAACAUACACAGGUGGACUCAAAUGAGGGACCAAACAUACGUGAACAUAACACUAAACUAUUCCCCAAAAACCCCCUAAAACAUCAUGGAAUAAUCAUAGAAAAACAUGCAAGAAAUGGCUGAACAGGGCACUUUCGGCGGCAGGUUCGACGGCCGAAAGUCCCUCCAGAGCCGAAAGUCAGGCAGGUUCGGCGGCACCUUCGGCGGCCGAAACUCCCAGACAGAGGCGAAACUCAUGCAUGUUCGGCGGCACCUUCGGCGGCCGAAAGUCCCAGACAGAGACGAAAGUCUCCUUUCGGGGGCAAGCUUCGGCAGCCGAAGGCUGCCUCCACAAGCAUGUUCGGCGGCCGAAAGUUCCUUCGGCUGCCGAACCUGGUUUCUCCCAGAAUGGCAGAAACUCAGCUCCCCUAUGCAUUUAUGUCUCCUAUCUCAUCCAAACAUGCAUAAACCUAUUCUACAACAUUCCUCAAUCAUACACAAGCAAACAUACAAGUUCCUAGGGGCAUCAAACCAUCAAAAACCCCAAUUACAACACACAAGCAACUUACAUUGUCCAAAAACACAAAUAACAGCCAUAAACCUAACCAAGAGCUAAACAUGCAUUCUACCCCAUAUAUCUUGCAUAAAACUUACUUUAAACAUGAAAUGAGCUUAAGAUCGGCUCUUACCUCUUGAAGAUCGAGAGAGAGACGUCCUAACUCGGAGGUGGGAGAUUUUUGGGUUCUUGAACCUCAAAGCUCCAAAACUUGCUUAAAACUCGGAAAUCUUCAAAACAAGAUGAAAACUAGUGAAAAACUUGAAAGAUCUGAAGGAAAAGACUCAAGAUCGGUGAGGGGUGGCGGAGAACUCACCUUGGCCGGAAAUGGGGAAAAAGCUCGCCCGUUUUCGGCUAAGGGACCCUUUUAUAGUGGCUGGCCAGGCCACGUUCGGGGGCCGAACGUGCCUCCGCGUGCAUGCCAUGUUCGGCAGCCGAACUUGAGGUUCGGC
rnacentral:lncRNA from 1 species